CAACGCACAUGUCAGUUUGGCCAGCGGGGCCCGACAGCCAGGGCCCCAGAUGCUUUCCUAUUGGUUGAUUUGGUGUGAGGGCGGGUACUGGGCAUCGCUACCUUGUCAAUUAACUUAUUAUUUAGCGACUGUGCGAUUUGGUACUCUACCGACCGAACAUAAAUUAGAGAUUAAAUGUCUGGGACCCCAUAGACCAGAGGAUUUCACCCUUUGUCAAGAAGGAAAGGAUAAAAAUAGAUCAUUCAACCAUGAAUGGUUCAAACGUAAAAAAUGGCUAACGGCUAGCCAAUCGAAAAAAGUGCUAUUCUGUUUUCCAUGUCUUCUUUUUGGAGGGGAAACUGUCUGGACAAUGACUGGAUUUAAGGACUUGAAACAUCUAUCAGAAAGGCUAGUAAAACAUGAGACCUGCGCAUCACAUGUGGAUAAUGCCAUCAAGCUUGGCUUAUUAGGGACCACAAAUAUUGCAUCUCAGCUUGACAGUGCACACAGACGUGGCAUCGAAGAGCACAAUCGCCAGACUGAAGAAAACAGAUAUGUUCUUGGCAGAAUUAUAACCUGUUUAAAACUGUGCGGGAAGUGUGAACUUGCCCUGCGUGGACAUGACGAGUCUGCCAGCUCCUUAAACCCCGGCAUUUUCAGGUGUAUUUUUGAGAUGAUGUGUGAGGGAGACUCCA